GAAAGCACUGAUGAAUGGAUGAUGGGGGGACAGGCUUCGCAUAGGGAGUAGACCACGGGAAUUCGAAGAGGCAAAGAUCCUAGUAUGGGAGGAAGAAAGGGGCAGUAUCCUAGAGCUAACCACUUUUCCUUCUACAAAUCUUACCACCUGGAAGAAGUCUUCUCUGACUAGUCACAUGCAGAGAGCCCAAGGACCUCCCCCAAACCUCUGGACUUUUUGCCUCCACCCAAUGAUACUGAUGCCCUUUUCUUCCUGGGAAAGUACAAUUUCCUCCCACAUCUUUGGGAACAUGCUUCUCACCCUCUGGAAGAGUCAUUGAACCAUAGAGUUGCAAAAGACCAUGGAACAUAGAAUACAGAAUG